AUACGUAGGUGGCAAGCGUUAUCCGGAUUUACUGGGUGUAAAGGGCGCGUAGGCGGGGAUGCAAGUCAGAUGUGAAAUCUAUGGGCUUAACCCAUAAACUGCAUUUGAAACUGUAUCUCUUGAGUGCUGGAGAGGUAGACGGAAUUCCUUGUGUAGCGGUGAAAUGCGUAGAUAUAAGGAAGAACACCAGUGGCGAAGGCGGUCUACUGGACAGUAACUGACGCUGAGGCGCGAAAGCGUGGGGAGCAAACAGGAUUAGAUACCCUGGUAGUCCACGCUGUAAACGAUGAAUACUAGGUGUAGGGGGUAUCGACUCCCUCUGUGCCGCAGUUAACACAAUAAGUAUUCCGCCUGGGGAGUACGGCCGCAAGGUUGAAACUUAAAGGAAUUGACGGGG
rnacentral:rRNA from 1 species